UUUGUACAUCGGCACGUUUUGGUCUAUAUACAGCCGUGCAGAGGAGGCAAGAGGUUUAGCGUUGGGCGGUGAGAGGAACUGCCAAUGGACUGCAUGGUCAUCCAUACAAGACGGAAGGCGAUACUCGUACCAGCUUUGUUCCUCAAGGUCGUUCUCUCGCGAGAUUCAACGAGGUUUUAAGAGCUCUUCUGUGCGACCUCGACUGAUCUAAAGACCAGCGCAAACCAGUUCGACCUACGUGCUGUUCAUGCGAAAAGGCCUCGCCAUGGAUACAAUAUACUUUAUUCUGCAGAUUAUUGUCUGUACCUUAGUAAUUCUGGAAGUCAUAGCUGUCAUCUUCUAUUUGUGUAAGAAGUGCCACGACGACGACAAAAGGAGGCGGGAGGAAUAUGAGUUUUCUGCUGCCGAGUCCUUUGAGUUGACCAGCGCCGUCACCAUUGUGUCCAUCGUCUCAGAGUCUACAGACGACAUCCCAGAGAAAAAGGCCUGCCCUGUCUGACUGUCUGAAUCGUGGCUUCAGCUCAACGGGGAAGGAACUUCAAAGGAAUGACAUGACUCUACAGAUAAAUGCGGGGUCGUGUGGCGUAACGGCAGUGCUCGACUCGGAAC